rnacentral:rRNA from 1 species
CCCGCUGAACUUAAGCAUAUCAAUAAGCGGAGGAAAAGAAACUAACAAGGAUUCCCCUAGUAACUGCGAGUGAAGCGGGAAAAGCUCAAAUUUAAAAUCUGGCGGUCCUUGUGUGUGUCCGAGGUGUUCUUUAGAGAAGUGUUCUCCGCGCUGGCCGGUGUCCAAUUCUCUUGAAAGGAAGCGUCAUAGAGGGAGAGAUUCCGUUUUUGGCCACGGCCUGCCAGGGCAUUGUGAUGCGCUCUCAAAGAGUCGAGUUGUUUGGGAAUGCAGCUCAAAAUGGGUGGUAAAUUCCAUCUAAAGCUAAAUAUUGGGGAGAGACCGAUAGCGAACAAGUACCGUGAGGGAAAGAUGAAAAGCACUUUGGAAAGAGAGUUAAACAGUACGUGAAAUUGCUGAAAGGGAAACGCUUGAAGUCAGUCGCGUCGCUCAGGACUCAGCCUUGCUUUUGCUUGGUGUACUUCCUGUUCGAUGGGUCAGCAUCAAUUUUGGUCGGUGGAUAAAGGCUCAGAGAAUGUGGCAUCUUCGGGUGUGUUAUAGCUCUGGGUUGUAUACAUCGGCUGGGAUUGAGGAACUCAGCACGCCGCAAGGCCGGGUACUUGUACCACGUACGUGCUUAGGAUGCUGGCAUAAUGGCUUUAAUCGACCCGUCUUGAAACACGG